AGAGCAGCAGCCCGGAACCUAGUGAGGCUGAAGAUUCUAGAGCAACACCACUGGAGCUAUAAAAAACAGCUGUCAUCAGAAGUCUUGAUGGGAAAAUUUUGUUAUUGUGUGUCAAGAACUUUCUAUCCUGUGACCUUGUCCAAAAAAGGAAAAUUCUUCUGUUUUUUGAUAAUGCGUGACUUCCUACAAGGGGCGUGAAGGUGUCUGCAGCCCAAGUGUCCAGAACAUCUGACUUCUUCACACCUGCGCACACAGGGUUAGCUGAGUUCCCCCGCCGCAUCCCGCAGCGGGGCCUCCUGGAGUCAGGGAGGCUGGCCUCCCCACACGCACGGACACCCCUCCCCAGCUCUACUCUGCCGCUGGUUUUGCCACCCUCUUGCCUCUGGCCUGGGCUUCUGGAAACUAAAAAUUCUCUCAGUGGACCAGACUCCAAGCCCCUUGCGACCAGACACUUCUCAUUUCUGCAUCUCCACGCUGCCUGGUUUACACCAAGGAUGGGUCCCAGCCUUGGCCGUUUGAGAAGAUGUAAGAGAGGAAAGGAGGAAGUGGACCGCUGCGAUGACCAUGGAGAACACGGAUGGGAUUCUGGGAAUCAAAGUGCCUUUGUUUUUCCCGGGAGAUCUGAGAAGACGUUGCCUGUGUAAAAAGUGACAAGCCCGCUGCGGUUGGGGAGCAGGUGGAGAGGAAGGGUUUGGGAAGUUUUAGAAACGAUCCGCUUUCCUCGCACACAGAAUCCUGUAAGCGUGUCCCAGUGACCAAGCCAGCUGGACACGGGGUGGCCGUCCCUGCGCAGCCCAGGCAAACAGCGAGCCCCCCUGCUGCAGCGUGUCGGUCACAGUGACGACACCCCAGUUAGAACCACAUGAUGGCUGGGGCUCCCGGCCUGCUCAGUCCGUGGAGCAACUCUUGAUCUUAGGGUCAUGAGUUCAAGCCCAUGUUGGAUAAGAAGCUUACUGAAAAUAAAAAUAAAAAUAUAGAAUUGCCCCAAAAUAAAACGCUGUGAAACUGAAAGAUAGGUUGUAGAGUGUGGGCGGGGAGGGGACCCCAAGGGAUGGAGAGCAGAAGGGAACUGUUCGGAGAAGACUAGAACAGUCCGAGCAAUCUGACCAAGGUCUCAACGGAUGAAACUCCUGCAGAGCGAGAGCAGAAGAAAUCCAAGGAGAACGUUCCCUGACUGUGAGCAGACACACAGCUUCUGUGGCAGGACGGCGGGGUUGCGGACCAUGGGGGUGAGGAACUCUGGUCCCCGGCUUCUGGAGUCCUCAGCACACAUACUGUGCGGGGUGCAUCCACGGCACAGAGUCUGCGGGCCCGGUGAGGUCACACCUCAGCUCCUUUCCCUCCCUCACCACGCAAAUGCUGUAAUUCCUAUCCAGGUGAUGUUAGCACACCUCCCGGUGCACGAGGAUGAAAGGUAUUAACCACAUGAACUCACGUAGCACGUGCCUGGGGGAUGGUCCGCUGCUGGCAUCGCCUCUCUCCGAGAAGUCCCUGGCCACUGCCUCAGGCCCAAAGGCGCCCCAUGUCUCCCCAUCCCCGCUCCCGGACUGCCUCACAAACCACUGCCAAGCCCUCUGGCCAUUCACUCGGACUGGAUCUUCCCUCUCCACCGCCAUACGAAGCUGUCUGGAGGUCCUGCGUCCGACAUGUGACCCUUCCUGAACAGCCAAGGGGAAAAUGAGGAUUUGCAGGGCCCUUCCUUCCCAGUAGAUGGCCCAGGACACCCCCUCCUCAUUAACUCAGAAGAAACCCCUAUUUCCGGAUCACAGGCCACAGGGGCGUUUCUGCACUGGAUGGCUGGUCAGCUUGCGCUCCUGGGGACCUGUGCUGCCUGAAGCAGGAGACGCAGGGGCCGCAGGUUUGGACCCCAUCCUGCAUCACUGCAAGGCACGGGUGGGCACCCCGCCUUGCCUGGAUGGCAGCAUGGCUCACCUCCGGCUCUCUCUCCCACCUCAUUUUACUUCCAAGAUGACCGUCUACCUUGGUCCCCCUGGUUACCACCCAAAGCCCAUUCCCACUUCCAGGACCCCGGGAAUGGACAUGCUCAGGAGGACCCCCAACCUCUCUUUUCCCCAGGAACUUCUCUGUUCCACCCACUUCGCGAGGUGUUGGCCUGGGAAAGCUCAUAUACCUGUGGGACAGGACGUACCUACCUGUGGGCCGCUCCCCCGGCCCAGGGAAACCUGGCAAUGUCUGGACAGUUCUACAAGAUGGCACAGAAAGGGGAGGCUGUUCAAUAAAGAGGGCUACAGAUAGAGACAAAUAAAACUCAGUCCCUCACCAAAUA